rnacentral:rRNA from 1 species
AGAGCGAACGCUGGCGGCAGGCCUAACACAUGCAAGUCGAACGGACUCUUCGGAGUUAGUGGCGGACGGGUGAGUAACACGUGGGAACGUGCCUUUAGGUUCGGAAUAGCUCCUGGAAACGGGUGGUAAUGCCGAAUGUGCCCUUCGGGGGAAAGAUUUAUCGCCUUUAGAGCGGCCUGCGUCUGAUUAGCUAGUUGGUGAGGUAAAGGCUCACCAAGGCUACGAUCAGUAGCUGGUCUGAGAGGAUGACCAGCCACAGUUGGGACUGAGACCACGGCCCAAACUCCGUACGGGAGCAGCAGGUGGGAAUCGUAGCGACAAGUGGGACAAAGCCGUGACGCAG